rnacentral:rRNA from 2 species
CAGGGAAUCUUGCGCAAUGGGCGAAAGCCUGACGCAGCGACACCGCGUGGGGGAGGAAGGCUUUCGGGUUGUAAACCCCUUUUCUCGGGGAAGAGUAAGGACGGUACCCGAGGAAUAAGCCUCGGCUAACUACGUGCCAGCAGCCGCGGUAAUACGUAGGAGGCGAGCGUUGUCCGGAUUUACUGGGCGUAAAGGGCGAGUAGGCGGCCCGUCGUGUCUCAUGUGAAAUCUCCCGGCUCAACUGGGAGGGGUCAUGAGAAACUGGCGGGCUUGAGGUCAGCAGAGGAGAGUGGAAUUCCCGGAGUAGCGGUGAAAUGCGUAGAUACCGGGAGGAACACCCGAGGCGAAGGCGACUCUCUGGGCUGCACCUGACGCUGAGGCGCGAAAGCAUGGGGAGCAAACCGG